GUGGGGAAUAUUGGGCAAUGGGGGAAACCCUGACCCAGCAACGCCGCGUGAAGGAAGAAGGUUUUCGGAUCGUAAACUUCUAUCCUUGGUGAAGAUAAUGACGGUAGCCAAGAAGGAAGCCCCGGCUAACUACGUGCCAGCAGCCGCGGUAAUACGUAGGGGGCAAGCGUUGUCCGGAAUGAUUGGGCGUAAAGGGCGCGUAGGCGGCCUGGUAAGUCUGGAGUGAAAGUCCUGCUUUUAAGGUGGGAAUUGCUUUGGAUACUGUCGGGCUUGAGUGCAGGAGAGGUAAGCGGAAUUCCCGUUGUAGCGGUGAAAUGCGUAGAGAUCGGGAGGAACACCAGUGGCGAAGGCGGCUUACUGGACUGUAACUGACGCUGAGGCGCGAAAGUGUGGGGAGCAAACAGGAUUAGAUACCCUAGUAGUCC
rnacentral:rRNA from 1 species